UACGGGGGGGGCAAGCGUUGUUCGGAAUUACUGGGCGUAAAGGGCUCGUAGGUGGCCAACUAAGUCAUACGUGAAAUCCCUCGGCUUAACCGGGGAACUGCGUCUGAUACUGGAUGGCUAGAGAUUGGGAGAGGGAUGCGGAAUUCCAGGUGUAGCGGUGAAAUGCGUAGAUAUCUGGAGGAACACCGGUGGCGAAGGCGGCAUCCUGGACCAACACUGACGCUGAGGAGCGAAAGCCAGGGGAGCAAACGGG
rnacentral:rRNA from 1 species